UUUGUUAGCUUUAGUAAAUGCCUUAGUUCGUUAGUUGUACCGCCGGAAAACGGACUGUCGUUAAAUGUUUAGUGAAGGUAGCGGCAUCCUGAAUUCCACCACAAAACGCACCCAUUCCUAGCCGAUUGCAUCCAGCUGUUUGUGUGUUUAUCGCUAAUCCGUCUUAACCAUAUUACCCUGUUACUGCACUGCCAGCUGUUCCCCGGUUUCACCGUCCCAAAACCGACGGACAUCUGUACCGCUCGUAUCGCAAUUCCGAUUCGUAUCGUACGGGAGGCUGACGUCAGUGCGUUUCUCAUCACCAAGGCGACGGACGCAAUUGAGUGAGGUGGAAUCGGUUGCGUAUUGACGGUGCUGCUGAUUGACCAACACAAAGCGGUGCGGCAGCCGUGAACAGAUAUCGCACUCACUCCAGUUCACUCACACGCACGAAAAAAAAACGCCCGACAUUCCAAGCGAGAAAUUUUUACCGAUGGCUAGGGCAGGAUCGGAUCGGAGCAGCGGUCUUGUGUGGGGGAAAACCAGUGCGAUAAGCAAGUAACUUCCUCCCUCUUUGCACAGCGCACACACAUUUCCGUGGUUCCAUUCAAAUCCAAUUAGUGUGACGCGUAGGGUCGUCUUCAGGUUCAGGUUCGGAAGAUAGUGGACAGUGGGUGUGACUAAACCCUCCCAGCAAAAAAAAAAGCUAAACCGGGCGAGGGAAAAAAAACAUAAAACAGUAGAACUGUCUGGUUUUUGGCCUACUUCGAUGAUAGGGUGUAGUUGGUAAACAAACCAAAUAAACGAUUGAACUACGCCUCGCUAGCGGACGGAGGCACGCACACACCUUUAAAGGCGCACCUCGAAGAUGGAUCACCACGGGACGGAUUUUCACCGUAGUUCCAAUUCGCUCGAUUCCGAUUCCAAGUCCAGUUCGCUCAACUCCAAGCACGGAAUGGACACGAUUGUGGCAAACGAGAAUGGCUUCACAUAUCUUUCCGGCGAGAACAUGCAGGACCGGAAGAGUGAUGUGUCGUACAUUUGUCCAUACAGUGGGCCCGCUAUCGGCACCCUCACAAUCACCAACUACCGCUUGCACUUCCGAUCGCAACCCGCAACCGACAAGGAUCCGGUCAUCGUCGUCGACUGUCCGCUCGGUGCGGUUAGCCGUAUCGAGAAGGUUGGCGGAGCAAGCUCGCGGGGUGAAAACUCGUACGGAAUCGACAUAUUCUGCAAGGAUAUGCGCAACCUCCGGUUCGCCCACAAGCAGGAAAACCAUUCCCGGCGUACCGUGUUCGAGAAGCUCCAGCUGUACGCGUUCCCGCGCGCCAACGAUGGCCAACUGUUUGCGUUUAACUAUCGCGAAAAGUUCGCGGAAGAUGGAUGGACCGUGUACGAACCGGUGGCCGAACUGCGCCGGAUGGGUGUGAACAGUGCAAACAACGAUACGUGGCGCAUAACGCGGCUUAACGAAGGGUACGAGAUAUGUGACAGCUACCCGUCCGUUUGGGCCGUACCGAAGACCGCGAAGGACGAUCUGCUGAAGCAGGUCGCUGCAUUUCGAUCGCGCAAUCGACUGCCCGUACUGUGCUGGAUCCAUCCCAAAUCGCUCGCGACCAUAACGCGCUGCUCCCAGCCACUGGUUGGGGUCGGGGGGAAGCGUAGCGAAGCGGACGAAACCUACAUCAAUCUCAUCAUGGAAGCGAACGCGCAAUCGGACAAGCUGUCGAUCAUUGAUGCGCGACCGAGCGCGAAUGCGAUCGCGAACAAAGCGAAAGGUGGCGGGUACGAGUCGGAAGAUGCGUACAAGAACGUGGAGCUAACGUUUCUGGACAUUCACAACAUACACGUGAUGCGGGAAAGUUUGCGAAAGCUGAAGGAAAUUUGCUUCCCGGCCAACGAUGACCACAAGUGGCUGUCGGCGGUGGAGAGUACGCUGUGGCUCAAGCACAUCAAGUGCAUUCUGGGCGGUGCCGUGCGGAUUGUCGAUCGGAUCGAAAAUAUGCGAAUGUCGGUGGUGGUGCACUGUUCGGACGGUUGGGACCGUACGUCGCAGCUGACGGCGCUGUCGAUGCUGCUGCUCGAUCCGUACUAUCGUACGCUGAAAGGGUUCCAGGUGCUGAUCGAGAAGGAAUGGCUUAGCUUUGGACACAAGUUCGAACAGCGUAUCGGCCACGGUGACAAUCACCAUUCGGAUGCGGAUCGAUCGCCAGUGUUUCUGCAGUUUAUCGACUGCGUGUGGCAGAUAUCGAAACAGUUCCCCCACGCGCUAGAAUUCAACGAGUACUUCCUAAUCACGAUCCUCGAUCAUCUGUACUCGUGUCGAUUUGGAACCUUCCUGUACAACACCGAACGAGAGCGUGUAUCGAACGAUCUCAAAAAUCGCACCGUCUCGCUGUGGUCGUUCAUCAACUCGUCGCACGAAGAGUAUCGCAAUCCACUGUACGGUGGGCUAAGCAACUAUCUCAGCUCGAUGCCAGUGCAAACCGUGCUGCGACCCGUCGUUAGCAUGCGUCACAUUCGCCUCUGGAAGGGACUGUACUGCCGGUGGAAUCCGAGCAUGCGGCAGCAGGAUCCAAUCUAUCAGCGUACGCGCGAGCUGCUUGCGCUGCAGGCGGAACUGAUGAAGCAGCUGGAAGAUUGUCGAACGGAACGUGUUCUCAACUAGAGCACCACUGCGGGAAAGCGUUUUCUGCGGGCGACUUUGCUUUAAGCAAUUGCAAUCCACCCUGGAUGAGUAUUGUGCGAACAAAAAAACAAAACACGAAAGAAGGCAGGAAGAAGGCAGGGACGGAAGGAAUUAAACGGAAGGUAUUCAUUUUUUUCGGUUGUAAGCAAAUUUAGUAAGUGAAGGAGCGAUAAGUGAAUUAGGACAAAAUUUAAUCAAAACACACACACACACACAACAUUGUAUUUGUUUCGUGGUAACAUUGUUUAAACAAUACUGUAUUAUUAAUAAAAGAAAAAGGAAAGUGUCUAUUAAA